rnacentral:rRNA from 1 species
AUUCCAGCUCCAAUAGCGUAUAUUAAAGUUGUUGCGGUUAAAAAGCUCGUAGUUGGAUUUCUGCUGAGGACGACCGGUCCGCCCUCUGGGUGAGUAUCUGGCUCGGCCUUGGCAUCUUCUUGGGGAACGUAACUGCACUUGACUGUGUGGUGCGGUAUCCAGGACUUUUACUUUGAGGAAAUUAGAGUGUUUCAAGCAGGCGCACGCCUUGAAUACAUUAGCAUGGAAUAAUAAGAUAGGACUUCGGUUCUAUUUUGUUGGUUUCUAGUACUGAAGUAAUGAUUGAUAGGGAUAGUUGGGGGUGCUAGUAUUGAGCGGCCAGAGGUGAAAUUCUUGGAUUCGCUCAAGACUAACUUAUGCGAAAGCAUUCACCAAGGAUGUCUUCAUCA